GCGCGGCUCUCACAUGUUACUUGAGUUUUACCCAGCAGGUGGGAAGUCCAGAAGGCUGACUCGGUCUCUAAAAUGCAGCAGAACCUGUGGCGACCACAGCCACCCAACAGCAAAAGAGGCAGCAGAGGCUGGGUGAGCACAGGACUGAGAAUUCAUGGAGAAAGUUCUUGAAUUUAAGGGAGAGGUGAGACCAUUUAAUUGGCCAAAAAGGCCCAACUCUAAGAGCCGACCUGCAAGAAGCCAGCCCGGCAGCUUCUCCCAUCACCACUCCCAGCUGCAGGUGGGCUGCCUGCUGUCCUUACCUCCCAGACAAGGGGGAUCAUGUCCUCCUUGGGGUCACCGUGGACCAGUGCGCACUUCUGUGGCCUGUUUUGCUCGCUGCACUUACCUACUGUGACACCACUGUUGCCGACACAGCCACCUCCGUGCGGGGGGUCCCUGGGGCAGACGCCCUGCUAUCCUCAUCUUAGGAUACCCAGUUCCCAACACAGUGCCUGCUGCAAAUUAUCAGUAAUAACAGGCCAUUAACUCCCCUGCUGGUCCCUAUCCAUGGAGCCCAUUGACAGAUGAGUUUGAUUCUGGACCUAAGAAGGACAGUUAACAGACACAGAUAUCUUUUAAGAAUCUUCCCUUCAGAGAAUACUAGAAAGUGUUCAGUAUGUUAAGCCCUUAGAAAUAAAUUCUGGCCGGGCGCGGUGGCUCACGCCUGUAAUCCCAGCACUUGGGGAGGCUGAGGUGGGUGGAUCACAAGGUCAGGAGAUCAAGACCAUCCUGGCCAACACGGUGAAACCCCAUCUCUACUGGGCGCCUGUAGUCCCAGCUACUCGGGAGGCUGAGGCAGGAGAAUGGCGUGAACCCGGGAGGGAACCCGGGAGGCGGAGCUUGCAACGAGCCGAGAUCGAGCUUGCAAUGAGCCAAGAUCGCGCCACUGCACUCCAGCCUGGGAUACAGAGCGAGACUCCGUCUCCAAAAAAAAUAAAAAUAAAAUUUAAAAGAAAAAAAAAAUUCUACAGAAAUUCACUAGAAUCUCUCCUUCCUUCCUUUCUUCCAACUUUUCCUCCUUUCUUCUUUCCUCCGUUCCUCUUUCCUUCCUUUUCCCUCGCCUUAUUCCUAAAUGGAUUUGAAAUAACAAACGCCUCCGUGUUCUUGCGGUCCUGCACUUUAAUAACACGGAAUUGCACACUGCUUCAUAUGAGUGGGCCAGUGUCUGGAGUCCAAAAUCUUUUCUGUUCUAAGAAAUCUAGGCCAAAGCUGAACCUUCAGUAAUGAGAUCUAACCUAUAAUCAAAUUAAAUAGCACAGCAUUAGAUCAAUUUCAG
rnacentral:lncRNA from 1 species